rnacentral:rRNA from 1 species
AGAUAAGGAGCUUGCUCCUUUGAAGUUAGCGGCGGACGGGUGAGUAACACGUGGGUAACCUACCUAUAAGACUGGAAUAACUUCGGGAAACCGGAGCUAAUGCCGGAUAACAUAUAGAACCGCAUGGUUCUAUAGUGAAAGAUGGUUUUGCUAUCACUUAUAGAUGGACCCGCGCCGUAUUAGCUAGUUGGUAAGGUAAUGGCUUACCAAGGCGACGAUACGUAGCCGACCUGAGAGGGUGAUCGGCCACACUGGAACUGAGACACGGUCCAGACUCCUACGGGAGGCAGCAGUAGGGAAUCUUCCGCAAUGGGCGAAAGCCUGACGGAGCAACGCCGCGUGAGUGAUGAAGGUUUUCGGAUCGUAAAACUCUGUUAUUAGGGAAGAACAAAUGCGUAAGUAACUGUGCGCAUCUUGACGGUACCUAAUCAGAAAGCCACGGCUAACUACGUGCCAGCAGCCGCGGUAAUACGUAGGUGGCAAGCGUUAUCCGGAAUUAUUGGGCGUAAAGCGCGCGUAGGCGGUUUCUUAAGUCUGAUGUGAAAGCCCACGGCUCAACCGUGGAGGGUCAUUGGAAACUGGGAAACUUGAGUGCAGAAGAGGAAAGUGGAAUUCCAUGUGUAGCGGUGAAAUGCGCAGAGAUAUGGAGGAACACCAGUGGCGAAGGCGACUUUCUGGUCUGUAACUGACGCUGAUGUGCGAAAGCGUGGGGAUCAAACAGGAUUAGAUACCCUGGUAGUCCACGCCGUAA